ACAAUGGUACUCCCGUCCAGCCACAGUUCACACAAUGGGGGCGGCUCGGUCAGAACGACGGAGGGGUGAGAUUCCCGUGA
ncrna:unclassified sequences pemK RNA